rnacentral:rRNA from 1 species
UACGUAGGUGGCAAGCGUUGUCCGGAUUUACUGGGCGUAAAGAGCGCGCAGGCGGUCGUUCAAGUCGAGUGUGAAAGCCCCCGGCUCAACUGGGGAGGGUCACUCGAUACUGAUCGACUCGAAGGCAGAAGAGGGAAGCGGAAUUCCCGGUGUAGUGGUGAAAUGCGUAGAUAUCGGGAGGAACACCAAUGGCGAAGGCAGCUCGCUGGGACGGUACUGACGCUGAGACGCGAAAGCGUGGGGAGCAAACAGG